AGGUGGGGGUUGCCGUGCUCGGUUCUUUGGAGGAAGCUAAGGCCGUUUUGGGGUGAGGCCCUCACUUCAUCCGGCGACUAGCACCGCGCCCGGCAGCCCCCACCUAGCACUCACC